rnacentral:rRNA from 1 species
GCGUGCCUUUUGUAGAAUGAACCGGCGAGUUACGAUUUGAUGCAAGGUUAAGCAGUAAAUGUGGAGCCGUAGCGAAAGCGAGUCUGAAUAGGGCGUUUAGUAUUUGGUCGUAGACCCGAAACCAGGUGAUCUACCCUUGGUCAGGUUGAAGUUCAGGUAACACUGAAUGGAGGACCGAACCGACUUACGUUGAAAAGUGAGCGGAUGAACUGAGGGUAGCGGAGAAAUUCCAAUCGAACCUGGAGAUAGCUGGUUCUCUCCGAAAUAGCUUUAGGGCUAGCCUCAAGUGAUGAUUAUUGGAGGUAGAGCACUGUUUGGACGAGGGGCCCCUCUCGGGUUACCGAAUUCAGACAAACUCCGAAUGCCAAUUAAUUUAACUUGGGAGUCAGAACAUGGGUGAUAAGGUCCGUGUUCGAAAGGGAAACAGCCCAGACCACCAGCUAAGGUCCCAAAAUAUAUGUUAAGUGGAAAAGGAUGUGGCGUUGCCCAGACAACUAGGAUGUUGGCUUAGAAGCAGCCAUCAUUUAAAGAGUGCGUAAUAGCUCACUAGUCGAGUGACACUGCGCCGAAAAUGUACCGGGGCUAAACAUAUUACCGAAGCUGUGGAUUGUCCUUUGGACAAUGGUAGGAGAGCGUUCUAAGGGCGUUGAAGCAUGAUCGUAAGGACAUGUGGAGCGCUUAGAAGUGAGAAUGCCGGUGUGAGUAGCGAAAGACGGGUGAGAAUCCCGUCCACCGAUUGACUAAGGUUUCCAGAGGAAGGCUCGUCCGCUCUGGGUUAGUCGGGUCCUAAGCUGAGGCCGACAGGCGUAGGCGAUGGAUAACAGGUUGAUAUUCCUGUACCACCUAUAAUCGUUUUAAUCGAUGGGGGGACGCAGUAGGAUAGGCGAAGCGUGCGAUUGGAUUGCACGUCUAAGCAGUAAGGCUGAGUAUUAGGCAAAUCCGGUACUCGUUAAGGCUGAGCUGUGAUGGGGAGAAGACAUUGUGUCUU